rnacentral:rRNA from 1 species
UACGUAGGGUGCGAGCGUUAAUCGGAAUUACUGGGCGUAAAGGGUGCGCAGGCGGUUGGGUGUGUCAGAUGUGAAAUCCCGAGGCUUAACCUCGGAACUGCGUCUGAAACUACUCGACUAGAGUACUGGAGAGGGAAACGGAAUUCACGGUGUAGCAGUGAAAUGCGUAGAUAUCGUGAGGAACACCAGAGGCGAAGGCGGUUUCCUGGACAGUUACUGACGCUCAGGCACGAAAGCAUGGGGAGCAAAAGGG